UACGUAGGGGGCAAGCGUUGUCCGGAUUUAUUGGGCGUAAAGAGCUCGUAGGCGGUUUGUCGCGUCUGCUGUGAAAACUCGGGGCUUAACUCCGGGCCUGCAGUGGGUACGGGCAGACUAGAGUGCGGUAGGGGAGAACGGAAUUCCUGGUGUAGCGGUGAAAUGCGCAGAUAUCAGGAGGAACACCGGUGGCGAAGGCGGUUCUCUGGGCCUGUACUGACGCUGAGGAGCGAAAGCGUGGGGAGCGAACAGG
rnacentral:rRNA from 1 species